AGGGCAUGGUAAAGACAUUUUCUAAGGAGUUCUUUAAAUCUCUCCCACGACUCAUGGAUAGACUCAUCAUCUAACUGGGUAAAUGAAGUAAUAUUAAUUCUAAGCUU